rnacentral:rRNA from 1 species
GACGAACGCUGGCGGCGUGCUUAACACAUGCAAGUCGAACGGAAAGGCCCUGCUUUUGUGGGGUGCUCGAGUGGCGCACGGGUGAGUAACACGUGUGUAACCUGCCCGUGACUUUGGGAUAACUUCAGGAAACUGGGGAUAAUACCUGUUAGGAGCUCCUGCUGCGUAGGGGGGGUUGGAAAGUUUCGGCGGUUGGGGUUGGAGUCGCGGCUUAUCAGCUUGUUUGUGGGGUAGUGGCUUACCAAGGCUUUGACGGGUAGCCGGCCUGCGAGGGUGCCCGGCCACAUUGGGACUGCGAUACGGCCAAGACUCCUACGGGAGGCAGCAGUGGGGAAUAGUGCACUAUGGGCGGAAGCCUGAUGCAGCAACGCCGCGUGCGGGAUGACGGCCUUCGGGUUGUCAACCGCUUUCGCCUGUGACGAAGCGUGAGUGACGGUAAUGGGUAAAGAAGCACCGGCUAACUACGUG